UUUUGUGCGGGAAGAUAAUGACGGUACCGCAAGAAUAAGCCCCGGCUAACUUCGUGCCAGCAGCCGCGGUAAUACGAAGGGGGCUAGCGUUGCUCGGAAUCACUGGGCGUAAAGGGUGCGUAGGCGGGUUUUUAAGUCAGAGGUGAAAUCCUGGAGCUCAACUCCAGAACUGCCUUUGAUACUGAGAAUCUUGAGUUCGGGAGAGGUGAGUGGAACUGCGAGUGUAGAGGUGAAAUUCGUAGA
rnacentral:rRNA from 1 species